CCUUUUGGUCGACUAUUUAAAAAGAACAUAAAUGACAUCUUUCCUUUUUUCAUCCAGACAUUUAAAGAUUAUUGUAUCUAGUUAAUGUUGCAGUCUUCUCUUUUAUUAUCAGGAAAUGAGGAGCUGCAUGAGAGUGCAUCUGCUUGGCAGUUUCAAGGCCUCGGGCACAAAGUCAUCUAUGUGAAGGACUGCAAACGUGUCCAAUAUGUCAGGGAUGUCAUCUGCAGGAGAACACAACAACACAAACAUGAUCCAGUGUGGCAGGUGAACUUCAUUUAACUUCCCAGCAGUGACUGUGACGUCCAUCAGAGGACCUGCAG